rnacentral:rRNA from 1 species
AUUGAACGCUGGCGGCAGGCCUAACACAUGCAAGUCGGACGGUAGCACAGAGGAGCUUGCUCCUCGGGUGACGAGUGGCGGACGGGUGAGUAACGUCUGGGGAUCUGCCCGAUAGAGGGGGAUAACCACUGGAAACGGUGGCUAAUACCGCAUAACGUCGCAAGACCAAAGAGGGGGACCUUCGGGCCUCCCACUAUCGGAUGAACCCAGAUGGGAUUAGCUAGUAGGCGGGGUAAUGGCCCACCUAGGCGACGAUCCCUAGCUGGUCUGAGAGGAUGACCAGCCACACUGGAACUGAGCCACGGUCCAGACUCCUACGGGAGGCAGCAGUGGGGAAUAUUGCACAAUGGGCGCAAGCCUGAUGCAGCCAUGCCGCGUGUAUGAAGAAGGCCUUCGGGUUGUAAAGUACUUUCAGCGGGGAGGAAGGCGGUGCGGUUAAUAACCGCGCCGAUUGACGUUACCCGCAGAAGAAGCACCGGCUAACUCCGUGCCAGCAGCCGCCGUAA